rnacentral:lncRNA from 1 species
AUGAAACCGAACAUCUUCUUCUUUCCAGCUACCCGCUGUCAGAAGCUCACUGAAAUGGACAAUGAACACAAAUUUGGUGCUUUCUGUGAAAAGUAGAUGAUGAACUCUUAGUGAAGCCUUGAAGGAUUAUGUAGUCUGAAUCAGGGUGGGAACCACAGGCAAGAUUUUCCCACUUGAUGCAAAAUGUCUUGACCCAUGGUAGAGUGCGGCUGCUAUUAAGUAAUGGGCAUUCUUGUUAUAGACCAAGGAGAACUGGAGCAAAGACAUACAAGUCUGCUCAAAAAUGCAUUGUAGAUGCCUAUCUGAGUUUCUCAAUUCAGUUAUUAGGGAAAAAGGGGUGGGGGAAAGAGUAGUAUUAACUGAUGAGUACUACUGUGCCUCAGCCAUGAGGGCCCAAGUGAGCUAGCAAAAUCAGAAAGCUUUUCAGUCUCUCUAAAGAAGAUGAUGUCCACCAAUACACUGUCAUAAAGCUCUGAAACAAAAAAGGUGAGAUGCCCAGGACCAAAGCACCUAAGAUUUAGCAUCUUGUCACUCCACUCAUCCUGCAGCCCAAAUGCUGACAUAUUGCUCCAAAGAAACAGCGCACUAAGAAAAAUGAGGAGGAAGCUGCAGGAUGUGCUAAACUUUUCUCCAAGAGAAUGACAGAAGCUAAAGCCAAAUGCCAGAAACAGAUUGCCAGGAGAUUUAGGCUGUCUUUGCAGAGAGCUGCUACUUCUGAGUCAGAGUCCAAACAAAAA